GCCGAGAGGGCGAGGAAUAAAAUACCCCACAGGGGAAAUAACUCCACCCUUCUUUUACAGGGCUACGAACCUCUUGGCCGCCCAUU
rnacentral:ncRNA from 1 species